CUGAACAAUCAGUCGGCGGUGAGCGUGAGGAUUGUUGCUCUUAUAAUUUAAAUAAUUCAACAAAAUAGAGUCCUUAAAAAGUUGUAUGGUAAAUACAGUCCUUGGAGGGGUUUCCAGAAUUUUCUGUCUUAUGACCUCGACCUUAGCUUUGGUCGUUUAAUUUUGGAUGGUAAGUAGAAUUUUGAUAAGAGGAGUGUACCUACCUAAUAGAGUUUUUUUACUACUCUAUGAAUCGUCUACAAGUACAUAGCAGUAGAACUCCUACGGUGUAUGAUGAGCCUAAUUCGAGAAAUAACUUCAAUUAAUAAAAUGGUUUGAAAUUUCAAUUAAGCAAGAAGUAAUAUUAUAAUUUGACGGAAUAAAAGAGAAAAUACUAUUAAUUAGUUAUAAGAUUUCCGCUGAAUAUACCACAACAUUUAUUUCAAGAUUUCAAGUAGGUAUUUAAGUAUAGCAGUAUUUAUUUAAUGAACUUUUCCUUUCUUUUCAACCGAAAGACAUCCACUGCUGGACUAUUAAUUAAUCGAUCAGUCCUGCCCGCUUCCUGCAUCCUUUAUUAUCCAUUGUCUACAUUACGACUUCAGGUGCGUGGUAGCCAUUAAAAUUUAAUAAUACGUCUCUACAUCAACUGUCAUCAAUUAGUUAUAAGCUCGAAAUUAUUGUACCCCUAUACCCCCUUAUUAAUAAAAGUUACACGCUAGUUGAACUUUGGCUUAAUAAUUGUCAUUUAGUAUGGAAAUGUCAUUUUAAUCUAGGGUUCAUCCUAGGUGUAACUUUUUAUUAAUAAGGGGGCUAAUGUAUUUAAUUUUAUCUCUGUGUAAAAGUAAUUUACCAAUCAUUGUAAUUUUAAGGCUAGCUAAUUGAUCUAUGUAAUCUCUACAUAUUUAACAAUACGUUACAGCAAUUAAACUUCAAAUCUAAUUAUACAAGAAUGUACCCAG